CCCACUCCAUCCCCUACCUAUUAGUGAAGAUCCGUUAGGCAGAGUACCUGUGGACAUUAUAGUUGCACAGGCACUUUGGUGACUCUAGAGAACCUCAGGCCAAUUGCACGUCCCCGUGACGGCGACGCAUUCGGAUGUCUGCCCUUUCAACUUUCGAUGGACUUUCUGCGCCUACCAUGGUGACCACGGGUAAUGGGGAAUCAGGGUUCGAUUCCAGAGAGGGAGCCUGAGAAACAGCUAUCACAUCCAAGGAAGGCAGUAGGCGUGCAAAUUACCCACUCCCAACGCGGGGAGGUAGUGAUG